AGGACGAACGCUGGCGGCGUGCCUAACACAUGCAAGUGGAGCGACGAACCGGGCUUCGGCCCGGGGCAAAGCCGCGAACGGGUGAGUAACACGUGGGUAACCUGCCCCGAUGAUUGGGACAACCCGAGGAAACUCGGGCUAAUACCGAAUGUGCCCUCCGGCCUCAAGGCCGCUGGGGAAAGGAAGCCUCGGCCUCCGCAUCGGGAUGGGCCCGCGGCCCAUUAGCUUGUUGGUGAGGUAACGGCUCACCAAGGCGACGAUGGGUAGCUGGUCUGAGAGGACGAUCAGCCACACUGGGACUGAGACACGGCCCAGACUCCUACGGGAGGCAGCAGUGGGGAAUCUUGCGCAAUGCGCGAAAGCGUGACGCAGCAACGCCGCGUGGGGAUGAAGGCCUUCGGGUUGUAAACCCCUUUCAGCAGGGACGAAGCGAAAGUGACGGUACCUGCAGAAGAAGCGCCGGCUAACUACGUGCCAGCAGCCGC
rnacentral:rRNA from 1 species